rnacentral:rRNA from 1 species
AGAGUUCGAUCCUGGCUCAGGAUGAACGCUGGCGGCGUGCCUAACACAUGCAAGUCGAACGAGAUGCGUAUCGGAAAGCUUCGGCCGGAAGAUACGUUAUCUAGUGGCGGACGGGUGAGUAACACGUGGGUAACCUGCCUUAUGGAGGGGGAUAACAGAGAGAAAUCACUGCUAAUACCGCAUAAGCACACAGUACCGCAUGGUACAGGGUGAAAAGAUUUAUCGCCAUAAGAUGGACCCGCGUCUGAUUAGCCAGUUGGCAGGGUAAAAGCCUACCAAAGCAACGAUCAGUAGCCGAUCUGAGAGGAUGACCGGCCACAUUGGGACUGAGACACGGCCCAAACUCCUACGGGAGGCAGCAGUGGGGAAUAUUGCACAAUGGGGGAAACCCUGAUGCAGCGACGCCGCGUGAGUGAAGAAGUAUUUCGGUAUGUAAAGCUCUAUCAGCAGGGAAGAAAAUGACGGUACCUGAGUAAGAAGCCCCGGCUAACUACGUGCCAGCAGCCGCGGUAAUACGUAGGGGGCAAGCGUUAUCCGGAUUUACUGGGUGUAAAGGGAGCGUAGACGGAAUGGCAAGUCUGAAGUGAAAUACCCGGGCUCAACCUGGGAACUGCUUUGGAAACUGUUGUUCUAGAGUGUUGGAGAGGUAAGUGGAAUUCCUGGUGUAGCGGUGAAAUGCGUAGAUAUCAGGAAGAACACCGGAGGCGAAGGCGGCUUACUGGACAAUAACUGACGUUGAGGCUCGAAAGCGUGGGGAUCAAACAGGAUUAGAUACCCUGGUAGUCCACGCUGUAAACGAUGAAUACUAGGUGUCGGGGUACAAAGUAUCUCGGUGCCGUCGCUAACGCAAUAAGUAUUCCACCUGGGGAGUACGUUCGCAAGAAUGAAACUCAAAGGAAUUGACGGGGACCCGCACAAGCGGUGGAGCAUGU